UCUAUAAAAAAAUUGAAGCAUUGUAACCAUUUUGUUGGACAAAAUUGUAUAAAUAAAAACAAAACUAGUAAGUGUCUAGUAAAAAAUUGUAAUCAAAUUCAAGAUCAUACUUUGGAAAAUGACAAAGAACAAACAUGCUGUAUUUGUCGAUUAGAAAAAACAUUGAGUGUAACAUUAAGUCCUUGCUAUCAUAAAAUAUGUAAUGAUUGUGCUAACGAGCUAUCACUAAAAAAUGGUACUAAAUGUCCAAUAUGCAGAGAACCAAUAUUACGUUAUAAAAAUAUAGAGUUAAUAGAAAGAUGUGCAUGCAAAGAAGAACUUCGACACGUUGUACUAAAACCUUGCCUUCACAGAAUAGGUAUAAUCUGUGCUGAUUAUAUUAGUAAUAAAAGUGAAUAUCAUCCAAAGUGUCCAAUAUGCCGCGUAAAAGUUGAAGAAUUCUGUCACGAUGUUUAUUGUUCCGAAAUUGAUUCAUCUUUGUCAGAUUCCUCAAACUCUGAUGACCUGUCAGAAUUACAAAAUCCUUGUCUUCCUAGUACAUCGAACACCCAAGAAAAAAUUUUACCUGAUUCUGAUGAAAAAAAAAAAGAGCUAGGAAAGAAAUAAUGUCUAAGCGUUUAGCGGCUGUACUUGACAAGUGUAAAAUUGUAACGUAACAAAAGUAUCUAUUUAUUUUUUUAUCUAUUUGUAUAUAUAUAUUUGUGUUGAGCCGAAGCGGACUGCGACGGCGUUUGUCAGUUAAAUAAUCACGAUAAGGUGUUGUGAUUUGUUUAUGCGCGUGCGAGAUAGUCAGCUAUGUACUACUUCAGACCGGUUAAUGGACGGCAUUUGUGUGUACAUCCACCCCGCUCCUUUCCUAUCUUGAACGUCAUUUGCACUGCUCACCGCAUACAUUGUCGCCUCAUGAUUUAAAUUUUUCGUAAUAAUUUCCGGCACUGGGUAUUUAGUUUUUUUUUUUUUGACCUCUACUCUAAAGGCUAGCCGUGUUGUUGCCAACGGACCGCCGGGUCAAACGCCGGACGUUUUUUCGGGGAAUAGCCAUAGUCUGAACUGGUCGUACUAUUUCCCGUCCGUAGCGGUAGAUUUAGUUGUGUGCGCUGCAACUUUUGUGUUUCUUAUAAUAUAAUUUUGUUUUUCUCGUGAGCGCCCGCUAUGUAAAAAUGUAAUUUUUGUUUAUCACGGCGUCGGUUAAACCUGCCUCCUGUUUCUUUAGCCCUUCGGAGCGGGUAAUGUAUAAUGUUUAUUUAAUGUUUUUGAGCCAGUUUUUUUUUUAGUGCGCCGUACCAUAAGCACGUGUGGCGAAUUCUUUUAUAUUUUUUUAUAUAGUUUUUUUUGUGUAGGAGCCCCUAUUUUUUUUAUUUAGGUCCCGUAACAUGGCAGGCGUGUACAAGACCACCUGGCAUGUUACAUCCAUAUUUUUUUGUGAUUUUUUUAAUAGGUUUUAUAUUAUACUUUAUGGGUGAUAUGUAUAUAUUAUUGGUACAAUGGGGUGACGUAGUGCAUUUUAUUCCGGGGUGUCCCAACGUCUUGCAAGCUAAGUCUAACUGCCUAAAACUAGUCGCUUACUUGGGACGUAUACCCGCCGUCCUUAGCGGCAAUGCUGCGAUUAAUAGCCGGCGGGUACCCGAAGACUAUCAUCGUAUUCUCUAACAAUAAAAGUGUAGGUGUAACUAGUAUUUUUUUUUAUUAAUAUCUGUUUUUUUUAUUUCUUUGUCCCCUUUAAUUUGUAAACGAGGUUUUUUGACCAUUCGGUUUUUUGCCUCGUGUUAAUUUAAUUUUUUUUUGUUUUUUUUUUUUUACUUAAUAAAGUCCCCUUAAUUUAACUUAACCAUCAAAUUUUUCUUUUUUUUGCGUGUUCCAUCUUCAAUGGACUCGUGUAUUUUUUUUUCUCCUUUCAAAAAUCAACUCCCCUAGUUUAUAAGGUACGGGCAACGGCCUUGUAUAAGGUCAUCCCUCAUUGAUAUGGUUAUGUGACAAUUGUCACGAGGUUUUGGUGUACAUCUACUAUCAACGACUCAACGGACAUCAACUUUAAUAUUUAUUAAUUAUAUAUUUUUUCUAAUUGUUUUAAUAUACAAAACUUAAUUUUUUUUAAAUCCUACUGUGGUCCGACAAUACACUGUCACGUUCAGUAGGUUGGCGACUCUUUUCUUAUAAUUUUGUAAAACGACAUGAAAGUUACAAAUUUUUCGUUGCGGCCAAUUAGUUUGAUUUUCUUAUAUUUGUAACCUUUCAAAGUGGCGACAGAGAUUGCGUUCACAUACUAACAGCAGUUUUAGAUACUAUUUCCGUCGAUCCACGUGUGUAUGUUAUUAACAAAACGUCAAUAAAAUCUGCUAGAAAAAAAUUUCGUAAAUAUAUUUUUCAAGAUUUAAAGUGCAAAUUUGAUCAUUUAAACACAAAAUCAUUAGUACUUCACUGGGAUUCUAAAUUACUACCAGAUAUAACUGGAACAUCUAAAGUUAAUCGACUUCCUAUAAUUAUUAUAGCACACAAUGUUAGUCAAUUGCUCGGAGUUCCUUAGAUAGAUUCAGGUA